GCUUACGGCCAUACCACCCCGAACCCACCCGAUCUCGUCUGAUCUCGGAAGCUACUUAGGGUCGGGCCUGGUUAGUACUUGUAUGGGAGACCACCUGGGAAUACCAGGUGCUGUAAGCU
rnacentral:rRNA from 1 species